rnacentral:rRNA from 1 species
AUUGAACGCUGGCGGCAGGCCUAACACAUGCAAGUCGAGCGAGCGGCGGACGGGUGAGUAAUGUAUGGGGAACUGCCCGAUAGAGGGGGAUAACUACUGGAAACGGUGGCUAAUACCGCAUACUAUCGGAUGAACCCAUAUGGGAUUAGCUAGUAGGUGGGGUAAAGGCUCACCUAGGCGACGAUCUCUAGCUGGUCUGAGAGGAUGACGAGCCACACUGGAAUGGGGACACGGCCCAGACUCCUACGGGGGGCAGAAGUGGGGAAUAUUGGACAAUGGGCGCAAGCCUGAUGAAGCCAUGCGGCGUGUAUGAAGAAGGCCUUAGGGUUGUAAAGUACUUUCAGCGGGGAGGCGUUACCCGCAGAAGAAGCACCGGCUAACUCCGUGCCAGCAGCCGCGGUAAUUC